rnacentral:rRNA from 1 species
UACGGAGGGUGCAAGCAUUAAUCGGAUUUAUUGGGCGUAAAGGGUGCGUAGGUGGCUGUUUAAGUCAUUGUCUGAAAUUCCGGGGCUCAACCUCGGAGCUGGACAUGAAACUGGAUAGCUUGAGGGACAGCGGAGAGAACGGAAUUUCCCAUGUAGCGGUGAAAUGCGUAGAUAUGGGAAAGAACACCUGUGGCGAAAGCGGUUCUCUAGUAGUUACCUGACACUGAGGCACGAGAGUGUGGGGAGCAAACAGG